UCCCUGGUGGUCCAGUGGCCAAGACCCUGAGCUCCCAAUGCAGAGGACCUGGGGUUCGAUUCCUGGUCAGGGAA
rfam:Ovis aries breed Texel chromosome 1, whole genome shotgun sequence.